rnacentral:lncRNA from 1 species
ACAGUUACAUUUAUCUUUUAAAAAAGGCUUAAUUGAUAAAUUGUACCUUAAACAAUACCUUUUUUUUUUCCAAUUUAAUACUGGUACUUAAACUAUUCUUAUACUACUCAAAUUAUCUUGCAUCUUAAUAUCAUUAAAAAAAUCAUUUACCAAUUAUAUCAUGCCACAUCAGCACCCAGUAUUAUUUUUUUAUUUAAAAAAUAAAUAAAUAUUUUCCUCCCCACUCCCGUUCCUCUCCCUUGCCCCCUCUCGG